GGAAAUGUGCCUGAGCAACAAGGGUCACUAUGAUAAAGUGAAUACAGAGGUUUACCAACCCUCUCAUUUCCU
rnacentral:tRNA from 1 species